rnacentral:lncRNA from 1 species
CCCCUUAAAUUUUGCAUAUUGUCUUCUAAUCUGAAGCAAAUCUCUUUUCCUUGAAGCUGAGGAGGUAAAGAAACUAAAGUCUCGUGUCAGCGCUCUUGAGGGAAUAUCCUCCUCCAUCAGUCCUCAGUCCGCUCCUAUUGAUGACACUGGCAUACAUGAAGAAGCUGGAAGUACAAAGACAAAUAUUAAUUCACCGGAUUCUACAGUUAAUUCAGGCAAUUCUGUACUGCAAAUACUGAGAGCAGAGCUGCAGUCUGAAGUCAUGAAAGCCUUCUUUGCUUCUUCAGUUAAAGCUGAAAGAGGACUUCCAGGGCUUAAAGGUGACACUGGAUCUCCAGGAACAAAGGGAGAUAAUGGUUUUCCAGGCCUUUCAGGUAAGAAUAAUGUUUGAUCCUCUGUAGAGCUAAUCUUAACAGUUGUGCAGAAUGAAGUCUCAACAGAUUUCAUUGUUUUUUGAUGUGCAUCUCUAGGUCCACCAGGAAUGCCAGGACAUACAGGAAGAGAUGGACAAAAAGGAAGUGCAGGUACAUGAAACAUUAGGCAGCACUUUUAUUUUGUGGGAAAAUCAUUCACCAUCAUUCUGGUCUUGUUGGUCCACCUGGGCCUAAAGGUCAGUACACAAAAAGCAAUUUAUAUAAAGGCUAAUACUUAUUAUAUUCAGUGAAAUUAGCUG